rnacentral:rRNA from 1 species
GAUGAACGCUGGCGGCGUGCCUAAUACAUGCAAGUCGAGCGAACAGACGAGGAGCUUGCUCCUCUGACGUUAGCGGCGGACGGGUGAGUAACACGUGGAUAACCUACCUAUAAGACUGGGAUAACUUCGGGAAACCGGAGCUAAUACCGGAUAAUAUAUUGAACCGCAUGGUUCAAUAGUGAAAGACGGUUUUGCUGUCACUUAUAGAUGGAUCCGCGCCGCAUUAGAUAGUUGGUAAGGUAACGGCUUACCAAGGCAACGAUGCGUAGCCGACCUGAGAGAGUGAUAGGCCACACUGGAACUGAGACACGGUCCAGACUCCUACGGGAGGCAGCAGUAGGGAAUCUUCCGCAAUGGGCGAAAGCAUGGCGGAGCAACGCCGCGUGAGUGAUGAAGGUCUUCGGAUCGUAAAACUCUGUUAUUAGGGAAGAACAAAUGUGUAAGUAACUAUGCACGUAUUGACGGUACCUAAUCAGAAAGCCACGGCUAACUACGUG